rnacentral:lncRNA from 1 species
CGUAAAUUCUCAUGUCUCCUCCACAUUCCAAAACAGCAAAUCAGUAUGUAGACAAAUAAAAAAUGAAUCUUAUCAACAGUUCUAAGGAGAGCCAAACGAAAACAACUUACACAAAUUCGGAAAUAAAGGAGACAGAUUUCGUUUUAGCUGAUGGGAUUGAGACAUGAACCAACGAGGUGAGAAGUGGAGUCCUUCGUAAAAGAUGGAGAAUUUUUCUGGGUUUCUUAGGGUUUAUUCCAGAGAAGAAGAAAAGAUGGAUUCAUUUUUUUUUUAGGUUUACGACGGUAGAAGAGGAGAGGAGCAGAGAUCGAGAAAGAGAGGAAACCAUUAAAAAAAGAAGCAAAUAUUUAUGUCCCUUAGAUUAAAUUCAUCAAUAGUUAAGGUUAAAAAAGAAGUUAUCCC